GACGCCCCUCGCUGGAAAUCUCGCGCGAGGUGAUUCUUCCCCUUUCCCGUCGGAGCCGACAAGAACAGAGGCAAACAGAGAAAAUAUCCUGUCGGAUGUGGUAAAGCUGGAGGCAUUAACUUUGACAAAUAAUAAGGAAACACUUUCGGUCACUCUAUAAAUCAGUUGCUAUGAGAUAUUACUAUUUGAAGAAUAACAAGUAUUACUGCUCCACAGACCACCUAAAUAAGCUCUGAAUGCUUGUUAGUGAGCAGACAAGAUUGAAGUAUUCCAGAAAGUGAGCCAGAUGGCACCGGCUUAAUUCCUCUGUCAACGUUUACUUGACUUCAGAUAGCCACAUGGAGGCUCUGCAGGCUACCCAUCUGUAUGCCAUCUCCAGGAAACGCCCAGGAACUGCUCAUCCCUACUGCCAUGGCAACUAAGCUGCAACUCACAGUCCCAUCUUUUUUACACAGCUCUGCCAGUCUCCCCAUUGCUUGGCAACAAGAAUGGAUCAGCAGCCCAUUUGGGCAAGUAUUUGCAUAUUGCUACAAGGGCUGGGAUUGAGCCUCACAAUGCAGGUUCAGACUAAAAUUUGAGUUCUUUAGGUAACAGCUGUGUCUGUGAAAUUUUAGAAAUGGGGGGAGAGAAGAUGAUCAGGAGUUUUUAUGCUGAGGGACCUUGAUUAUUUCACAUGAGCCUAGGACUAUUAGGUAGUGGUUUCUACUCUCUUCCCACUCCAUCCACUUUCUCCAUCUAUGAAUGUGGCAAAUAAAUAUUGCAAGCGUAGGAAGUGCAUUUCACACUGAGUCCUAAGGACAUAGUGAUUGAAGAUUAAAGAAAGCCAGUCACUGGAAAGGGAUUAUAUAUUUUACCCCUUCCCAUCUGCAUUUCAGGAUUGUGAACAGUCGUUAAGCCAUCACUGUGCUCUGCCACUAUAGCUCGCUGCCAAGUUUUAAGGGCUGCAUGAAGAUAAAAGCUAAUUUCAGGGAUUACGUAAAAGCAGCCAAAAUAUUAACUGGAAAGUCUUCAGAAGCCUUCUUCCUGCUUUUCCAAGCUUGUAGUGGAGUUUGACUGCUCUGUGCCAUGGACUUUUGUCCCAUGUUGCAUUUUUUAAAAAAAAUUACAUUGUGGAAAGGCUUUUAGAAAGUUAGGAAUAGUCAUAAUUGUGAUCUUCAGUUUCAAGGAAUAAAAAUGUAUGGUGGCAUUUCAAUAAUUCAUUUGGAUGAUUAGACGUUUAGUCAUUUUUAGUAUUAAUCAAUACAUUCAGCAGAAGGCUCAUCCGUCUCUGCUUUUAGUUUUGCAGAAAUGUGUUUUUUUCUCUCUACUGCAUGACCAGGCCACCAUGAUAAGGAACAAUGACAGAUUAUCAUGAUCAAUCUUUCUCCUGCUCAAAGAAAGGCACUUAUGAAUUUUACAUGAAAGUUUUAAUAGCUUGAAACACAAAUUUUUUAAAAAUAUGAAAAGUUAAAUAUAAAACAAGUAUAAUAUGACA